rnacentral:rRNA from 1 species
CCUACGGGAGGCAGCAGUGGGGAAUAUUGCACAAUGGGCGAAACACUGAUGCAGCGACGCCGCGUGAACGAUGACGUAUUUCUGUAUGUAAAGCUCUAUCAGCAGGGAAGAAAAUGACGGUACCUGACUAAGAAGCCCCGGCUCACUACGUGCCAGCAGCAGCGGUAAUACGUAGGGGGCCAGCGUUAUCCGGAUUUACUGGGUGUAAAGGGGGCGUAGACGGCUUGGCAAGCCAGAGGUGAAAGGCUGGGGCUCAACCCCAGGACUGCGUUGGGAACUGGCAUGCUAGAGUGUCGGAGAGGCAGGCGGAAUUCCUGGUGUAGCGGGGAAAUGCGUAGAUAUUAGGAGGAACACCAGGGGCGAAGGCGGCCUGCUGGACGAUGACUGACGUUGAGGCUCGAAGGCGUGGGGAGCGAACAGGAUUAGAUACCCGGGUAGUC